UCUUCCGUAGUAUAGUGGUCAGUAUAUGAGCUUGUCAUUCGAAUCCGAGCAAUCGGAUGGAGUAAUUCGCUCGGGACCCGGGUUCAAUUCCCGGCGGGAGAG